rnacentral:rRNA from 1 species
CCUACGGGAGGCAGCAGUGGGGAAUAUUGCACAAUGGGCGAAAGCCUGAUGCAGCAACGCCGCGUGAGGGACGACGGCCUUCGGGUUGUAAACCUCUUUUAGUAGGGAAGAAGCGAAAGUGACGGUACCUGCAGAAAAAGCACCGGCUAACUACGUGCCAGCAGCCGCGGUAAUACGUAGGGUGCAAGCGUUAUCCGGAAUUAUUGGGCGUAAAGAGCUCGUAGGCGGUUUGUCACGUCUGCUGUGAAAACCUGGAGGCUCAACCUCCAGCCUGCAGUGGGUACGGGCAGACUAGAGUGCGGUAGGGGAGAUUGGAAUUCCUGGUGUAGCGGUGGAAUGCGCAGAUAUCAGGAGGAACACCGAUGGCGAAAGGCAGAUCUCUGGGCCGUAACUGACGCUGAGGAGCGAAAGCAUGGGGANCGAACAGGAUUAGAUACCCUGGUAGUCCAUGCGUAACGUACGGUACGUAGAUAGUAGGUACGACUACUACGCGUCUGUGUCG